UACGUAGGGGGCAAGCGUUGUCCGGAAUUAUUGGGCGUAAAGCGCGCGCAGGCGGUUUUUUAAGUCUGGUGUAUAAACCUUGGGCUCAACUUAAGGAGGCACUGGAAACUGGGGAACUGGAGUGUAGGAGAGGAAAGUGGAAUUCCACGUGUAGCGGUGAAAUUCGUAGAUAUUCGGAAGAACACCAGUGGCGAAGGCGGCUCACUGGCUCAUACUGGACGCUGAGGUGCGAAAGCGUGGGGAGCAAACAGG
rnacentral:rRNA from 1 species